AGAGUUUGAUCCUGGCUCAGGACGAACGCUGGCGGCGUGCCUAAUACAUGCAAGUAGAACGCUGAAGAGAGGAGCUUGCUCUUCUUGGAUGAGUUGCGAACGGGUGAGUAACGCGUAGGUAACCUGCCUUGUAGCGGGGGAUAACUAUUGGAAACGAUAGCUAAUACCGCAUAACAAUGGAUGACCCAUGUCAUUUAUUUGAAAGGGGCAAAUGCUCCACUACAAGAUGGACCUGCGUUGUAUUAGCUAGUAGGUGAGGUAACGGCUCACCUAGGCGACGAUACAUAGCCGACCUGAGAGGGUGAUCGGCCACACUGGGACUGAGACACGGCCCAGACUCCUACGGGAGGCAGCAGUAGGGAAUCUUCGGCAAUGGGGGCAACCCUGACCGAGCAACGCCGCGUGAGUGAAGAAGGUUUUCGGAUCGUAAAGCUCUGUUGUAAGUCAAGAACGAGUGUGAGAGUGGAAAGUUCACACUGUGACGGUAGCUUACCAGAAAGGGACGGCUAACUACGUGCCAGCAGCCGCGGUAAUACGUAGGUCCCGAGCGUUGUCCGGAUUUAUUGGGCGUAAAGCGAGCGCAGGCGGUUUGAUAAGUCUGAAGUUAAAGGCUGUGGCUCAACCAUAGUUCGCUUUGGAAACUGUCAAACUUGAGUGCAGAAGGGGAGAGUGGAAUUCCAUGUGUAGCGGUGAAAUGCGUAGAUAUAUGGAGGAACACCGGUGGCGAAAGCGGCUCUCUGGUCUGUAACUGACGCUGAGGCUCGAAAGCGUGGGGAGCGAACAGGAUUAGAUACCCUGGUAGUCCACGCCGUAAACGAUGAGUGCUAGGUGUUGGAUCCUUUCCGGGAUUCAGUGCCGCAGCUAACGCAUUAAGCACUCCGCCUGGGGAGUACGACCGCAAGGUUGAAACUCAAAGGAAUUGACGGGGGCCCGCACAAGCGGUGGAGCAUGUGGUUUAAUUCGAAGCAACGCGAAGAACCUUACCAGGUCUUGACAUCCCGAUGCUAUUUCUAGAGAUAGAAAGUUACUUCGGUACAUCGGUGACAGGUGGUGCAUGGUUGUCGUCAGCUCGUGUCGUGAGAUGUUGGGUUAAGUCCCGCAACGAGCGCAACCCCUAUUGUUAGUUGCCAUCAUUCAGUUGGGCACUCUAGCGAGACUGCCGGUAAUAAACCGGAGGAAGGUGGGGAUGACGUCAAAUCAUCAUGCCCCUUAUGACCUGGGCUACACACGUGCUACAAUGGUUGGUACAACGAGUUGCGAGUCGGUGACGGCAAGCUAAUCUCUUAAAGCCAAUCUCAGUUCGGAUUGUAGGCUGCAACUCGCCUACAUGAAGUCGGAAUCGCUAGUAAUCGCGGAUCAGCACGCCGCGGUGAAUACGUUCCCGGGCCUUGUACACACCGCCCGUCACACCACGAGAGUUUGUAGCACCCGAAGUCGGUGAGGUAACCUUUUGGAGCCAGCCGCCUAAGGUGGGAUAGAUGAUUGGGGUGAAGUCGUAACAAGGUA
rnacentral:rRNA from 1 species